GACGAACGCUGGCGGUGUGCCUCAUACAUGCAAGUCGAACGAGAAGAGAAAGCUUGCUUUCUCGGAAAGUGGCGGACGGGUGAGUACAACAUAGGAAAUCUGCCUUUAGGUGGGGGACAACAGAGGGAAACUUCUGCUAAUACCCCAUAUGAGCGUAGCUGAAAUGCUAUUCUUGAAAGUUCCGGCGCCUAAAGAUGAGCCUGUGCCUGAUUAGCUAGUUGGUGGUGUAAUGGGCUACCAAGGCGACGAUCAGUAGCUGGUUUGAGAGGAUGAUCAGCCACAAUGGGACUGAGACACGGCCCAU
rnacentral:rRNA from 1 species